CAAAGGUUUGGUCCUGACUUUUCUACCAGCUCUAGCUAGACUUACACAUGCAAGUAUCCGCAUCCCCGUGAGAAUGCCCCGUAGUUUCCUGCCCGGAAACAAGGAGCCGGUAUCAGGCACACUUAAUUUAGCCCACGACGCCUUGCUCAGCCACGCCCUCAAGGGUACUCAGCAGUGAUAAACAUUGACACAUAAGUGAAAACUUGACUCAGUUAAAGCUAAUUAGGGCCGGUAAAACUCGUGCCAGCCACCGCGGUUAUACGGUAGGCCCAAGUUGUUAGAAGUCGGCGUAAAGGGUGGUUAAGAACAAAAUUAAAUUAAAGCCGAACAUCUUCCAAGCUGUUAUACGCAUUCGAAGAUAAGAAGCUCAAAUGCGAAAGUAGCUUUAUAUAUUCUGAAU
rnacentral:rRNA from 1 species